CCUACGGGUGGCUGCAGUUUCGAAUUAUUCACAAUGGGCGAAAGCCUGAUGGUGCGACGCCGCGUGAGGGAUGAAGGUCUUCGGAUUGUAAACCUCUGUCACUAGGGAAGAAACGCUGUAUUUUAACAGAAUGCAGCCUGACUUAACCUGGAGAGGAAGCAGUGGCUAACUCUGUGCCAGCAGCCGCGGUAAUACAGAGACUGCAAGCGUUAUUCGGAUUCACUGGGCGUAAAGGGUGCGCAGGCGGCCAAGUGUGUCAGGUGUGAAAUCCCGGG
rnacentral:rRNA from 1 species